rnacentral:rRNA from 1 species
CCGGGUGAGUAACACGUGACUAACCUACCCUCGAGUGGGGAAUAACUCCGGGAAACCGGGGCUAAUACCGCAUAACAUCUUCGGAACGCGAGUUCUGUUGAUCAAAGGAGCAAUUCGCUUGAGGAGGGAGUCGCGGCUGAUUAGCUAGUUGGCGGGGUAAUGGCCCACCAAGGCUUAGAUCGGUAGCCGGCCUGAGAGGGCGCACGGCCACACUGGAACUGAAACACGGUCCAGACUCCUACGGGAGGCAGCAGUGGGGAAUUUUGCGCAAUGGGGGAAACCCUGACGCAGCAACGCCGCGUGGAGGAUGAAGUCCCUUGGGAUGUAAACUCCUUUCGACCGGGAAGAUACUGACGGUACCGGUGGAAGAAGCACCGGCUAACUCUGUGCCAGCAGCCGCGGUAAUACAGAGGGUGCGAGCGUUGUUCGGAAUUAUUGGGCGUAAAGGGCGCGUAGGCGGUUGGGUAAGUCACCUGUGAAAUCUCCUGGCUCAACUGGGAGUCUGCAGGCGAAACUGCUCGACUGGAGUAUGGGAGAGGUGCGUGGAAUUCCCGGUGUAGCGGUGAAAUGCGUAGA